CUCUAUCCUUUCAUUCUAAGCUUCAGUGCUCCAAGACGCUUUAUCUUACUGACUGGUGUGCCUCCCAAAUCCUUCUAGCUGGUCCUGAAGCUAUGCCCUGUGCCAUAAUAUUUUAUCCUGUGAUAAAGUGAAACCUCUGAUCAUUGCGUGGCAGAAGAUGGACAGUCAGAAUGGAGCUCUAUAAAACCUUAACAAGAGCAUUUUUCCAACAAACAUUUGGAAAUUGGAAUUAGAGAAAUAAUACUAUAAGCAAUAGCAUCAAAACAUGAAUUACUUAGGGAUAAAUUAAAAAGGGGUGUAUACAAAAUCUACAAAGUAUUGCUGAGAAAAAUUUUAAAAGAACUAAAGACAUAAAAAAAAAAACCAUAAUCACGUCUGAAUUGGGACUGAGCAUGCUGUUUGUUUAAUGAAGAAAACUCUUUUAGGAAGAAUUAAAAAGAAAUACCACAAUACCUGCACCUACAGGAAAUAAGCCCAGAAAUCUUCCCAACCUCCUACUUGAUCUUCCAUAUUUAGAGUGCAUCAAAAGAAGAGAAAGAUUUGGGAGCAGGGCAGAAAAAUAGGAGAAGGAGAAAGACAAGCUAUAAGGAAUGAAAAAAUGUCACUUGGCAUAAUCAUAUCAAAAGCUGGAGCUCCAAAUCCCAAAUGCUCCAGGAAAAAGCAGAUGUCCCAGCAGACCUCGCCAAUCAAUGCAUUCCUGCUGUGGCCACAAAGUCUGAUUCAGGGAUAAACACGUGUUCCAAGAAGGCAAAAAGACCAGUUCAGGAACUUCUGUUAGAUUGCUUGGGAAGAAAAACAAGAUUUCUGCUGGAUUUUAAGAUUAACAAGAGAAUGUGAGCCAGGAGCUAAUGGGCCUAUAGAGUAGAAAAAGCCCGCCUAAUCAUGAAGCCAAUAAAGAGGAAAACAGAAUUACCUGAUGGAAGCCCUUUUUCUCUGCCAUUUGCUGUGUGCAGCACAGAUGACCUG